rnacentral:rRNA from 1 species
GGAGUUAGCCGGUGCUUCUUCUGCGAGUAACGUCACAGAUGUAAGGUAUUAACUUACACCCUUUCCUCCUCGCUGAAAGUGCUUUACAACCCGAAGGCCUUCUUCACACACGCGGCAUGGCUGCAUCAGGGUUUCCCCCAUUGUGCAAUAUUCCCCACUGCUGCCUCCCGUAGGAGUCUGGGCCGUGUCUCAGUCCCAGUGUGGCUGAUCAUCCUCUCAGACCAGCUAGGGAUCGUCGCCUAGGUGAGCCUUUACCUCACCUACUAGCUAAUCCCACCUGGGCUUAUCCAUCAGCGCAAGGCCCGAAGGUCCCCUGCUUUCCCCCGUAGGGCCGUAUGCGGUAUUAGCAGUCGUUUCCAACUGUUAUCCCCCACAAAUGGGCAAAUUCCCAGGCAUUACUCACCCGUCCGCCGCUCGUCAUCUUCAAAAGCAAGCUUUUGAAAUGUUACCGCUCGACUUGCAUGUGUUAGGCCUGCCGCCAGCGUUCAAUCUGAGCCAGGAUCAAACUCUGA